AACGCUGCUGUUUCUUGGUGUAACUCUGAUGUUUCUUUGGUUUGUAAGAGCUCUUCCCUUGCAGAUUUGGGCUGGCCACAUGGGCUUCAAAUUAGCCACACACAGUAGAAGAAAACAAAUUCCAUUAUUCCUCCUACAAAUUCCUAACUCCUUCAUGCUGGAGAUGACGUGCCUCACAUUGCUUCUUCCAUGUGGGUGAGAAGGAGUGUUUCGGUGGGUACCGAAUGGACAACCAACCCAGAUUAUCCAAGUCUUGCUUCUGACUGAUGGGUUUGUCUGUGUAGACAAAUAAUUGGAAGCUUGCACUAAUUACAGAAGAAUACCCAAAUGUCUGCAUUUUGAGUUUGCAUUUGCACCUCAUUCAGGUCGCACAAAUCUACUCUUUUUUCACAGAAGUUACCUUAAUUAAGGCCUAUCUAUAGAAAACCAGAGAAGAGAAAUAAACGAAGGUUUAUUUUCAAUUAUGUUCACCUAAGGUUUGGCUUUCAUGGUCCCCUCUUUUGUUUUCUUUGUAGUGUUUGCUUUGUGAUUUAUAUAUUGAUUAUAGGUUUGUAGCCAUUGAAUACACCUACGAGGUGUUUGUGAAAACGUUUAUAAGAGAACCUGCAUGCUUACUUCUCUAUGAAAGUGAAUCAACAAAAAUUCAGAAUUUACAAAUGAAAGAUAAAAGAUUCUCAAAUAAAGAUAAGUAAUAAAGAAACAUAUCCCAAUACAAUACCAAGAUAAAAACCAUCAAUUCCUACUGAAUUCACAAGAGCAAGAUGCUUUCGAUGCGAACAAACCUUACCUUUCAGUCACCAAAUCAAUAUAUAUAUAGAUGCCCUAAGUCCUGACCCUUUGUUUAAAUUUUAAUUAGCAAUAAGCUUUUCUUCAAUAAGAAUUAAAUAUUGAUCUUGAAUCCUCACUUUUAAUACAACAAACAAAAAAUCACCAAAUUAUUAUUUAAAAAAAAAAAGAAAACAGAGAACAAAAAUAAUACCCAAUAACAGUUUGAACU